rnacentral:tRNA from 1 species
CGGGGUAUAGCGCAGUUGGUAGCGCGUCUGGUUUGGGACCAGAAAGUCGCCAGUUCAAAUCUGGCUACCCCGACCA